GCGGGUAUUGUAUAACGGUAUUACAUCAGGCUUCCAACCUGAGGACGGGGGUUCGACUCCCCCUACCCGCU
rnacentral:tRNA from 2 species